UACGGAGGGUGCAAGCGUUAAGCGGAUUUAUUGGGCGUUAAGGGCGCGUAGGCGGAAUCUUAAGUCAGUGGUGAAAUUCCCAGGCAAAACCUGGGAGCUGCCACCGAAACUGGGAAUCUAGAGGAAAAGCGGGGAGAGGGGAAGUCAGAGUGUAGCGGUGAAAUGCGUAGAUAUUCUGGCGAACACCAGAGGCGAAGGCGCCUCUCUAGCUUAAACCUGACGCUGAGGCGCGAAAGCGUGGGGAGCAAACAGG
rnacentral:rRNA from 1 species